GUGACCAUAGCUCAGUUGGUAGAGCGCCUGACUGUGGAUCAGGUGGUCGCGGGUUCGAGUCCCGCUGGUCACC
rnacentral:tRNA from 4 species